AGAUUACUUGAGCCCAGGAGUUGAAUACAGCAGUGAGCUGAGACCAUGCCACUGCAUUCCAGGCUGGGCAACAGAG
rnacentral:snRNA from 1 species